rnacentral:rRNA from 1 species
GGGUGCGUAACGCGUAUGCAACCUACCCGAUACAGGGGGAUAAUAAUCUGAAAAGGUUUCUAAUACCCCAUAGUUAUGUAAUUCGGCAUCGGAUUAGAUUUAAAGUUUUGAUGGUAUCGGAUGGGCAUGCGUAACAUCAGCUAGUUGGAGAGGUAACGGCUCACCAAGGCGAUGAUGUUUAGGGGUCUUGAGAGGGAGGUCCCCCACACUGGAACUGAGAACGGUCCAGACUCCUACGGGAGGCAGCAGUGAGGAAUAUUGGUCAAUGGACGGAAGUCUGAACCAGCCAUGCCGCGUGAAGGAAGACGGUCUUAUGGAUUGUAAACUUCUUUUCUAUCGGAGUAAUAAUAGGUUUGCGAACUUGUUUGCAAGUACGAUAGGAAUAAGCAUCGGCUAACUCCGUGCCAGCAGCCGCGGUAAUACGGGGGAUGCGAGCGUUAUCCGGAAUUAUUGGGUUUAAAGGGUGCGUAGGCUGUAUAGUAAGUCAGAGGUGAAAGGUUACGGCUCAACUGUGACAUUGCCUUUGAUACUGUUAUGCUAGAAUAUGGAGGCGGCAGGCGGAAUGAGUCAAGUAGCGGUGACAUGCGUAGAUAUGACUCAGAACACCGAUUGCGAAGGCA